ACAACUUCGACCAAAGAAAAAUAAAGAAAAAUACUACAUCAUUCAGGGCAUAUGGGCAUUGUUUACAUAUGUAGGACCCAAACAUAUUGUCAUGUGUGUGUGUGUGUCAAUUUUACACUGAAACACGAUACGGAAAACAAGUUAAUGUUGCGAAUUGGAGAUUUUGAAUUGGAGAUUUUGUUGCAUCUGCCAUUGCUGUGUGAUUGUGAAGACAAAAACGUUCCAUGUCAUAUGUGUUUGUCCGUUCAAAGCAAGCACUUGGACAUGCUUUGGAGUCUCCCGUUCUGUUAUUGCAGCAUGUUCUGUGACUGUACAUGAGGGAUCAUAACUGAAACCACAGAUUCAGCCUUUACUACAAGAAAUUGAAAAACUUCUCGUUUGAUCUCUCUUGAGGGACAAUGCUGUGAUUGAAAAUACAAUUGCCAUUUGGCUGUUCAUUGUCUAAAAUCUCAUCUUUUACAUUAAUCUAUCAGGUUCUCCAUUCCAUUUUGUAGAUUUUGAUAUAGAAUGUUCAUUUCAAUCCACAACAAAUAUGUACAGCAUAUCGGUUUGUUGUUAAAACUAUUACAUUCAAGAGUUAACCCAUAGAGUUCCUUCUGUGUGAAUUAUUAGACGUGCACUACUUGUUUAAUACAAUUUUUAAAUGUUUA
rnacentral:lncRNA from 1 species